rnacentral:rRNA from 2 species
GGGAAAAGGAACUAAAUAGGAUUCCCUCAGUAAUGGCGAAUGAACAGGGAUGAGCUCAGGCUGGAAACCGAUACAUCUGUGUCGGGCUGUAGCCUGCAGGCAUAGCGCUAUCGGCGGCUCGAGCGCAAGCCUCUUGGAAUAGAGCGUGUGCCCGGGUGAGAAUCCUGCAUUUCGCUCGAUGUCCGCUGUCCACAGUGCUUGUCCUGAGAGUCACGCUCCUCGGAAUUGGAGCGUAAAUCAGGUGGUAAGUUUCAUCCAAAGCUAAAUAGAAGCUCGAGACCAAUAGCAAACAAGUACCAUGAGGGAAAGAUGAAAAGGACUUUGGAAAGAGAGUUAAAAGUGUUUGAAAUUGCUGAGAGCGAAGCGAACGGAGCCACAUGUCGUGCUGAGAUUGCUGUGGGUCUUUGUGAGCCUUGAGCAUGUAAGCGCAAGCUGACUGCUUAUGUGUGAGCAUUUGCCCGCAGUGUUUCUCAGCAUGCGAGUCAUUAGCCACAUUUGUUUGAGGAUGGCCUUCAGCUCACAUGGUACACUUGUUAGUGUUCCUCUGUGCGGUGUGGGACUCAGACAGGUGUGGCUUGUUGACCCAGUGGUUUUU